rnacentral:rRNA from 1 species
GACGAACGCUGGCGGCGUGCCUAAUACAUGCAAGUCGAGCGGACCUCUUCGGAGGUCAGCGGCGGACGGGUGAGUAACACGUGGGCAACCUGCCUGUAAGACUGGGAUAACACCGGGAAACCGGUGCUAAUACCGGAUAAUCCUUUUCUUCACAUGGGGAAAAGCUGAAAGACGGUUUCGGCUGUCACUUACAGAUGGGCCCGCGGCGCAUUAGCUAGUUGGUGAGGUAACGGCUCACCAAGGCGACGAUGCGUAGCCGACCUGAGAGGGUGAUCGGCCACACUGGGACUGAGACACGGCCCAGACUCCUACGGGAGGCAGCAGUAGGGAAUCUUCCGCAAUGGACGAAAGUCUGACGGAGCAACGCCGCGUGAGCGAAGAAGGCCUUCGGGUCGUAAAGCUCUGUUGUCAGGGAAGAACACGUACCGGAGUAACUGCCGGUACCUUGACGGUACCUGACCAGAAAGCCACGGCUAACUACGUGCCAGCAGCCGCCGUAA